rnacentral:tRNA from 1 species
GCCGGGGUAGCUCAGUUGGUAGAGCAACGGACUGAAAAUCCGUGUGUCGACAGUUCAAUUCUGUCCCCCGGCACCA